GCGAGAAUAGCUCAGUUGGUAGAGCACAACCUUGCCAAGGUUGGGGUCGAGGGUUCGAAUCCCAUCGCCCGCUCCA
rnacentral:tRNA from 1 species